rnacentral:rRNA from 1 species
AAAUUGAAGAGUUUGAUCAUGGCUCAGAUUGAACGCUGGCGGCAGGCCUAACACAUGCAAGUCGAACGGUAACAGGAAGAAGCUUGCUUCUUUGCUGACGAGUGGCGGACGGGUGAGUAAUGUCUGGGAAACUGCCUGAUGGAGGGGGAUAACUACUGGAAACGGUAGCUAAUACCGCAUAACGUCGCAAGACCAAAGAGGGGGACCUUCGGGUCUCUUGCCAUCGGAUGUGCCCAGAUGGGAUUAGCUAGUAGGUGGGGUAACGGCUCACCUAGGCGACGAUCCCUAGCUGGUCUGAGAGGAUGACCAGCCACACUGGAACUGAGACACGGUCCAGACUCCUACGGGAGGCAGCAGUGGGGAAUAUUGCACAAUGGGCGCAAGCCUGAUGCAGCCAUGCCGCGUGUAUGAAGAAGGCCUUCGGGUUGUAAAGUACUUUCAGCGGGGAGGAAGGGAGUAAAGUUAAUACCUUUGCUCAUUGACGUUACCCGCAGAAGAAGCACCGGCUAACUCCGUGCCAGCAGCCGCGGUAAUACGGAGGGUGCAAGCGUUAAUCGGAAUUACUGGGCGUAAAGCGCACGCAGGCGGUUUGUUAAGUCAGAUGUGAAAUCCCCGGGCUCAACCUGGGAACUGCAUCUGAUACUGGCAAGCUUGAGUCUCGUAGAGGGGGGUAGAAUUCCAGGUGUAGCGGUGAAAUGCGUAGAGAUCUGGAGGAAUACCGGUGGCGAAGGCGGCCCCCUGGACGAAGACUGACGCUCAGGUGCGAAAGCGUGGGGAGCAAACAGGAUUAGAUAUCCUGGUAGUCCACGCCGUAAACGAUGUCGACUUGGAGGUUGUGCCCUUGAGGCGUGGCUUCCGGAGCUAACGCGUUAAGUCGACCGCCUGGGGAGUACGGCCGCAAGGUUAAAACUCAAAUGAAUUGACGGGGGCCCGCACAAGCGGUGGAGCAUGUGGUUUAAUUCGAUGCAACGCGAAGAACCUUACCUGGUCUUGACAUCCACGGAAGUUUUCAGAGAUGAGAAUGUGCCUUCGGGAACCGUGAGACAGGUGCUGCAUGGCUGUCGUCAGCUCGUGUUGUGAAAUGUUGGGUUAAGUCCCGCAACGAGCGCAACCCUUAUCCUUUGUUGCCAGCGGUCCGGCCGGGAACUCAAAGGAGACUGCCAGUGAUAAACUGGAGGAAGGUGGGGAUGACGUCAAGUCAUCAUGGCCCUUACGACCAGGGCUACACACGUGCUACAAUGGCGCAUACAAAGAGAAGCGACCUCGCGAGAGCAAGCGGACCUCAUAAAGUGCGUCGUAGUCCGGAUUGGAGUCUGCAACUCGACUCCAUGAAGUCGGAAUCGCUAGUAAUCGUGGAUCAGAAUGCCACGGUGAAUACGUUCCCGGGCCUUGUACACACCGCCCGUCACACCAUGGGAGUGGGUUGCAAAAGAAGUAGGUAGCUUAACCUUCGGGAGGGCGCUUACCACUUUGUGAUUCAUGACUGGGGUGAAGUCGUAACAAGGUAACCGUAGGGGAACCUGCGGUUGGAUCACCUCCUUA